rnacentral:rRNA from 1 species
AUUGAACGCUGGCGGAAUGCUUUACACAUGCAAGUCGAGCGGCAGCGCGGGGGCAACCCUGGCGGCGAGCGGCGAACGGGUGAGUAACAUAUCGGAACGUACCCAGUCGUGGGGGAUAACUAUCCGAAAGGAUAGCUAAUACCGCAUACGUCCUGAGGGAGAAAGCGGGGGAUCGCAAGACCUCGCGCGAUUGGAGCGGCCGAUAUCGGAUUAGCUAGUUGGUGGGGUAAAGGCUCACCAAGGCGACGAUCCGUAGCGGGUCUGAGAGGACGACCCGCCACACUGGAACUGAGACACGGUCCAGACUCCUACGGGAGGCAGCAGUGGGGAAUUUUGGACAAUGGGGGCAACCCUGAUCCAGCCAUUCCGCGUGAGUGAAGAAGGCCUGGUUGUAAGCUCUUUCAGCAGGACGAAACGGU